rnacentral:rRNA from 1 species
GUGUCAGCAGCCGCGGUAAGACGAACCGAGCGAACGUUGUUCGGAAUCACUGGGCUUAAAGGGCGCGUAGGCGGCUUGCCAAGUCAGGGGUGAAAUUUUGCGGCUUAACCGUAACAGUGCCUUUGAUACUGGCAGGCUAGAGGGAGACAGGGGUCCGCGGAACUUCUGGUGGAGCGGUGAAAUGCGUUGAUAUCAGAAGGAACGCCGGUGGCGAAAGCGGCGGACUGGAUCUUUUCUGACGCUGAGGCGCGAAAGCCAGGGGAGCAAACGGGAUUAGAUACCCUCGUAGUCC